CCAUGUCUGAAACACCAGUUCCUGUACAAUCACCAAAGUUAAGCAACAUCGAGCUUGAUCAGUACCUAGAUGGGUGAUCAUUUGGGAAUAUCAGGAUUUGUAA